GAAAGAAUAUCGGAGACGGAUGGGCAUGCGGCGCAUUAGCUAGUUGGCGGGGUAACGGCCCACCAAGGCGACGAUGCGUAGGGGUUCUGAGAGGAAGGUCCCCCACACUGGUACUGAGACACGGACCAGACUCCUACGGGAGGCAGCAGUGAGGAAUAUUGGUCAAUGGGCGAGAGCCUGAACCAGCCAAGUCGCGUGAGGGAGUACUGCCCUAUGGGUUGUAAACCUCUUUUGUCGGGGAGCAAAAGCCGGACGUGUCCGGCUGUGAGAGUACCCGAAGAAAAAGCAUCGGCUAACUCCGUGCCAGCAGCCGCGGUAAUACGGAGGAUGCGAGCGUUAUCCGGAUUUAUUGGGUUUAAAGGGUGCGCAGGCGGAUUUUUAAGUCAGCGGUCAAAUCGUGGGGCUCAACCCCAUCCAGCCGUUGAAACUGGGGAUCUAGAGUGUGCGAGAGGUAUGCGGAAUGCGUGGUGUAGCGGUGAAAUGCAUAGAUAUCACGCAGAACCCCGAUUGCGAAGGCAGCAUACCGGUGCACAACUGACGCUCAGGCACGAAAGCGUGGGUAUCGAACAGGAUUAGAUACCCUGGUAGUCCACGCAGUAAACGAUGAAUGCUACCUGUUUGGCCAGAUUGAGGGCUGA
rnacentral:rRNA from 1 species